CGUGCGUCGCGACUCUAUUAAUUUUGGGAAUAUUGUUGUGGCUGUCUUUGGCAUGAAGAAGUUGGCGUAUGGCCUCUCCUGUAUGUUCACGAGUGGAAAGUAAAGUGCUUAGACUGGAGAAACAACUCAUCAUGCUGAACUAUCUGUGCAUUUGUAUCCAUUCUACGGUCUCCUUAUAUCUUUGGACUAGUUCUCUACUGGCUUUGAAGAAAGCAGAAGAUCCACCGGCAUACCUCAGGAAACGUUCUCCUCACCUCGUGAGGUGAGGAGAACGAAGCGCCGUUCAUAUCAAUAUUCACAGCCAUACUUGUUCCUGUAUUGCCAGCUGCUACAUUCUGUGAUCCAAUGGAAAUUCUACCAAGUUGUCUGUAACUCAGUCUGAGUCUACUUCAUGUGAAGUAUGAGUUGCUAUCGGCAGGCAUUAUAAGCCAAGGACCAUCUACUCUGAUUGGCCAGGUUUACCAGCAGUGUUUUCGUGAAGUCCUGAAAAGAGGUCUUGUUCGCAGACAGCACGGGCACACAGCCUCGUCAUGGACUUGGGGCGUCAAUGGCUGCAUAUGGCAGCUGCUAGUUUGUCUGCAAACUACAUCUCACAACCUCAGUGGAUCCAGCUUGCCCAGUAUUGGAAAGAAUCUGAUGAUCUUAGCCAUCCAAAACCACCAAGCCAACUCAAGUUGAGAGUAUUUGCCUGAACCUGUCAUCGUUGUCUGUAACUCAGUCUGAGUCUACUUCAUGUGAAGUAUGAGUUGCUAUCGGCAGGCAUUAUAAGCCAAGGACCAUCUACUCUGAUUGGCCAGGUUCACCAGCAGUGUUUUCGUGAAGUCCUGAAAGAGGUCUUGUUCGCAGACAGCACGGGCACACAGCCUCGUCAUGGACUUGGGGCGUCAAUGGCUGCAUAUGGCAGCUGCUAGAUUGUCUGCAAACUACAUCUCACAACCUCAGUGGAUCCAGCUUGCCCAGUAUUGGAGAGAAUCUGAUGAUCUUAGCCAUCCAAAACCACCAAGCCAACUCAAGUUGAGAGUAUUUGCCUGAACCUGUCAUCGUUGUCUGUAACUCAGUCUGAGUCUACUUCAUGUGAAGUAUGAGUUGCUAUCGGCAGGCAUUAUAAGCCAAGGACCAUCUACUCUGAUUGGCCAGGUUCACCAGCAGUGUUUUCGUGAAGUCCUGAAAAGAGGUCUUGUUCGCAGACAGCACGGGCACACAGCCUCGUCAUGGACUUGGGGCGUAAAUGGCUGCAUAUGGCAGCUGCUAGUUUGUCUGCAAACUACAUCUCACAACCUCAGUGGAUCCAGCUUGCCCAGUAUUGGAAAGAAUCUGAUGAUCUUAGCCAUCCAAAACCACCAAGCCAACUCAAGUUGAGAGUAUUUGCCUGAACCUGUCAUCGUUGUCUGUAACUCAGUCUGAGUCUACUUCAUGUGAAGUAUGAGUUGCUAUCGGCAGGCAUUAUAAGCCAAGGACCAUCUACUCUGAUUGGCCAGGUUCACCAGCAGUGUUUUCGUGAAGUCCUGAAAGAGGUCUUGUUCGCAGACAGCACGGGCACACAGCCUCGUCAUGGACUUGGGGCGUCAAUGGCUGCAUAUGGCAGCUGCUAGAUUGUCUGCAAACUACAUCUCACAACCUCAGUGGAUCCAGCUUGCCCAGUAUUGGAGAGAAUCUGAUGAUCUUAGCCAUCCAAAACCACCAAGCCAACUCAAGUUGAGAGUAUUUGCCUGAACCUGUCAUCGUUGUCUGUAACUCAGUCUGAGUCUACUUCAUGUGAAGUAUGAGUUGCUAUCGGCAGGCAUUAUAAGCCAAGGACCAUCUACUCUGAAUAUCUACCGACAUACCUCUGGAAACGUUCUCCUCGCCUCCAGAAGCGCCGUUCAUUUCAAUAAUCACAGCCAUACUUGUUCCUGUAUUGCCAACUGCUACAUUCUGUGAUCCACUGGACAUUCUACCAAGAAGAAGGACGGCAGCCAACAAGCCGGCGAAGAAAAUUCAAUAGUAUUGUGUGUGUGUGUGUGUGUGUGUGUGUGUGUGUGUGUGUGUGUGUGUGUGUGUGUGUGUGUGUGUGUGUGUGUGUGUGUGUGUGUGUGUGUGUGUGUGUGUGUGUGUGUGUGUGUGUGUGGUGUGUGUCCCAUAUGGUGCAGUGGUAUGUGCAGCGAUUUCCAAUCGAUAGGUUGCGGGUUCGAUUCCCGACGAUUAUGGUCACACACGUCUUUCUUCUCUUUCUCAGACUCUUCCUGACUUUUCUUUCAUUCUCCUGGGUGGUUACCAACAGCCAGUGUAUGCCGGAGUAUGUGGUGUGGUGUGUGUGUAGAAAAAAAAGAAAAAAAUGAAAAAUAGGGAUUCACUGGCCAGAAAAAGUCACUUCAAACAGCUGUGUGGUGGAUACCAGGCUACAAAUAGUGGCGGUCAAUUCAUCAGCCUUGCAAGCUGUUGAAUGGUGUAAUCCCAGCACAAGUUGCUAUGUCUAACAUAGCUGUUCGCUAUCAUCGCUCCCGCGAUGGGCAUGUCUGAGGUCUGAGGUGUGCGCGCGCGCGCACGCGCGCGUCUUCCCCCCCCCCCUCUUUCUGUGUGUGUGUGCGCGCGCGCGCGCGUGUGUGUGUGGGGGCUAAAAAUAGUGGCGGUCAAUUCAUCAGCCUUGCAAGCUAUUGAAAGGUGUAAUCCCAGCACAAGUUGCUAUGUCUAACAUAGCUGUUCGCUAUCAUUGCUUCCGAGAUGGGCAGGUCUGAGGUGUGUAGCUGUGAUUCUGUUCUGGCUUUGUUUAUACCGUCAUGAUUGUGUUCUUUUUGUAUGUUUGUUUGCAGUCCCUGCCGUUCUUGUGUUCUGUUUGUGUGGUGAUGGGGUGUGCAGCUGUGAUUCUGUUCUGGCUUUGUUUAUACCGUCAUGAUUGUGUUCUUUUUGUAUGUUUGUUUGCAGUCCCUGCCGUUCUUGUGUUCUGUUUGUGUGGUGAUGGGUGUGUGUCUUCAGCUACUUGGCUUGCUGAUGGCUGAACUCUUGUUGUUGUUUCCUCAUGUGCAAGAGGAAGGAGAAAGAAGACGGGAAGAAAAGUCUGAAAUGUGUUAUUUUUGUG